UACGAAGGGUGCAAGCGUUACUCGGAAUUACUGGGCGUAAAGCGUGCGUAGGUGGUGAGUUAAGUCUGUCGUGAAAGCCCCGGGCUCAACCUGGGAAUGGCGAUGGAUACUGGCUCGCUAGAGUGCGGUAGAGGAGAGUGGAAUUCCCGGUGUAGCGGUGGAAUGCGUAGAGAUCGGGAAGAACAUCAGUGGCGAAGGCGGCCUGCUGGGCUGUUGCUGACGCUGAGGCGUGACAGCGUGGGGAGCAAACAGG
rnacentral:rRNA from 1 species